rnacentral:rRNA from 1 species
CUGAAAGGAAGAUUAAUCCAGGAUGGGAUCAUGAGUGUCACAUGUCCGCAUGAUUAAAGGUAUUUUCCGGUAGACGAUGGGGAUGCGUUCCAUUAGAUAGUAGGCGGGGUAACGGCCCACCUAGUCAACGAUGGAUAGGGGUUCUGAGAGGAAGGUCCCCCACAUUGGAACUGAGACACGGUCCAAACUCCUACGGGAGGCAGCAGUGAGGAAUAUUGGUCAAUGGGCGAUGGCCUGAACCAGCCAAGUAGUGUGAAGGAUGACUGCCCUAUGGGUUGUAAACUUCUUUUAUAAAGGAAUAAAGUCGGGUAUGCAUACCCGUUUGCAUGUACUUUAUGAAUAAGGAUCGGCUAACUCCGUGCCAGCAGCCGCGGUAAUACGGAGGAUCCGAGCGUUAUCCGGAUUUAUUGGGUUUAAAGGGAGCGUAGAUGGAUGUUUAAGUCAGUUGUGAAAGUUUGCGGCUCAACCGUAAAAUUGCAGUUGAUACUGGAUGUCUUGAGUGCAGUUGAGGCAGGCGGAAUUCGUGGUGUAGCGGUGAAAUGCUUAGAUAUCACGAAGAACUCCGAUUGCGAAGGCAGCCUGCUAAGCUGCAACUGACAUUGAGGCUCGAAAGUGUGGGUAUCAAACAGGAUUAGAUACCCUGGUAGUCCACACGGUAAACGAUGAAUACUCGCUGUUUGCGAUAUACGGCAAGCGGCCAAGCGAAAGCGUUAAGUAUUCCACCUGGGGAGUACG